UCUUCAUUUUGAUGCUCCAAAACUCAUAAGAGUCCCCUUUGAAGACAGGAAUGAGGGGCUGAGUAACAUUCAUGCUAUUCCCAUUUGCAACCAUGGAAAUUUCUCUUAGGACUUUUAACAAACACUUGGAGCAAUAACAAGAACCAAUGCUCUGAUACCACAAUUGUUGGGAAAAAUGACAAAGACUAAGAGAUAUCAACAAAGGAAAAAUGGAAGACAUAUGUAGAGAAAGACUUAUAUUUAGUCUAUAGUUGAAGGUGCCUAUUUAUAGGCUUACAUGAUAACAGAAAAGCUAAAAAAACAGACAAAAUCAAGUCACUAAUAGAGAAAAUUUUGGUAGAAAAAAAGGGAAAAUGAGAUAUUUGCUAGCUAACAAACAAAGAUCAAAUCAAAUACUUAGCUUUAAUUUUGAAUCAGUCUUCAACACAUGCAAGCUUUUCUAUGGAAUCUCAUGAGCAAUUAGAUGCCCAUGCAAUUCAGAAAAGAAAACAAGUUCUGGUCGCAGAUUUAAGGCAGCAAUAUGAGCAUGAUAUUCGCUUCCAAUAUUGCGAUAGAUAAUUAC
rnacentral:misc_RNA from 1 species